CUUAUGCACAUGAUCACAGUGUCAUUGAGAUGCUUGUCAUAAGUUUCUCUGGGAGGGAGGCACCCUGGAUCUACAGGAUUGUAGCCAUGCUCGAGGAUGUCCAACAUCUCAUCAUUGUCGUACCUAAGAUGAUCCUGCAUACCAACUCUUCACAAAGCAAAAUCGGAAUUGUCAUCAAGCAAAGGAGGUUUUCCUCCAGGAUUGUACUUAGGUUUCUCAACUUGAGAUCUAGCAUAAAGCCAUGGAACACUGGUUUGGUUAUUUCCUGGAGGUUGUUGG
rnacentral:lncRNA from 1 species